GGGUGAGUGGCAGAGCGGUUGAUUGCUACAGUCUUGAAAACUGUCGUAGGUGCAAGCCUACCGUGAGUUCGAAUCUCACCUCACCCG
rnacentral:tRNA from 1 species